UAAAAAAUACGAAGCUUUAUUUUACCAAUAACAAUAUAUACACACUUUUUGAAAUACAUUUCAUUUAAUUGUUUUAUCGAUUAAUUUGUUUUUUACGAGAAGAAAAAUAACUUUUUAUUAGUUUUAAAAAAAAAGAAACGUGAUAGAACAAAACAAAUAACAGACUCGUACAUUUAAACUCAUUUUCAUUAAAUUAUACAAUUUUAAUUUUCCAAAUGGACAAGUACAAGGUGUCUAAAGAAAGGGUAACUUAAAAAAAAAAUAAUAAAAUAUUAUAAAAAAAAUAAAUGUAUAAUGUAAUCACAUUUUUUAGUUUAACAAAAAAAAAUGUUUUGUCAUUUUUUACUUUGAUAUAAAUUUUUAUAUUAUAAUAUGUUUUAAGAGAACUGAAUUAGAGUCUAUAUUUAAUGAAUUCAAUAAAAAGAAAAAUGGAUUAGAUGGAAACGAGUUGUUAUAUAUUUUAAAAUCAAUGGGUAUAUUUCUUAAUAAAAGCGAAUCAGCCGCUGUGUUAGAUGAAUGUAAACAAAACGGCAAUUUAAAUUUAAAUAAUUUUUAUGCUAUUAUGCAAGAAUUUUAUUAUGAUGAAAAUAUAGGAAAAAUGAUAUUUUCAUCGUUAAAAAAGCAUACUACAGAAGAUGCUAAAGGUAUUGCAUUAUCAAGACUAAAAAAAUUAUUGUUGACAUUAGGUUCUGGUAUAAGAUUAACAGAAGAAGAAGUAGACACUUUUUUUAAAAUAGAAUUCAGUACAAAUGAAAACAAAGAAAUAUUAUUUGAUGAUUUUAUACACAAGUAAAUAUAAACCCUGUUUGAUUAUUUAUUUUAUCUUAUUUGUUUUGUUUUAUUUUUUAACAAUCUUUUUUUUUUUUUUAAUACACAUAAAAUUGUAAAUUUUAUUUGCAUAAAAUAUAAUUAAAAUUUUACGCUUGUUAUUUAGGAUAUUAAAAGAAUGAUUGGCAAAAAUGUUUUAUGGACAAGUAAAAAGUUAUAUACUUGAAUUCCUUUUUUUUUUUCUUUCUUUUAUAUAUUAUGACUAUAUGAACAUGUUAGAGGCA
rnacentral:lncRNA from 1 species